rnacentral:rRNA from 1 species
CAAGUCGAACGGUAAGGCCCUUUCGGGGGUACACGAGUGGCGAACGGGUGAGUAACACGUGGGUGAUCUGCCCUGCACUUUGGGAUAAGCCUGGGAAACUGGGUCUAAUACCGAAUACACCUUGCUGGUCGCAUGGCCUGGUGAGGGAAAGCUUUUGCGGUGUGGGAUGGGCCCGCGGCCUAUCAGCUUGUUGGUGGGGUGAUGGCCUACCAAGGCGACGACGGGUAGCCGGCCUGAGAGGGUGUCCGGCCACACUGGGACUGAGAUACGGCCCAGACUCCUACGGGAGGCAGCAGUGGGGAAUAUUGCACAAUGGGCGCAAGCCUGAUGCAGCGACGCCGCGUGAGGGAUGACGGCCUUCGGGUUGUAAACCUCUUUCAAUAGGGACGAAGCGGAAGUGACGGUACCUAUAGAAGAAGCACCGGCCAACUACGUGCCAGCAGCCGCGGUAAUACGUAGGGUGCGAGCGUUGUCCGGAAUUACUGGGCGUAAAGAGCUCGUAGGUGGUUUGUCGCGUUGUUCGUGAAAACCGGGGGCUUAACCCUCGGCGUGCGGCGAUACGGGCAGACUGGAGUACUGCAGGGGAGACUGGAAUUCCUGGUGUAGCGGUGGAAUGCGCAGAUAUCAGGAGGAACACCGGUGGCGAAGGCGGGUCUCUGGGCAGUAACUGACGCUGAGGAGCGAAAGCGUGGGGAGCGAACAGGAUUAGAUACCCUGGUAGUCCACGCCGUAAACGGUGGGUACUAGGUGUGGGUUUCCUUCCUUGGGAUCCGUGCCGUAGCUAACGCAUUAAGUACCCCGCCUGGGGAGUACGGCC